CGGAUAGGAAACAAGGGCGUACGGUGGAUGCCUUGGCUUGAAAGAGCGAUGAAGGACGCGGCGUAGCGGCGAUACGCUUCGGGGAGGUGCCGAGCAACCUUUGAUCCGAAGAUGUCCGAAUGGGGAAACCCCUCGCGAGUAAAACCGCGAGACUCCGACGAAAGUCGGAGAGCACACCCGGGGAAGUAAAACAUUUCAGUACCCGGAGGAAAAGAAACCAAUUGGUAUUGCGUCAGUAGCGGCGAGCGAACGCGCAGAAGCCUAGAGUAUUUUGUUCGCAAGAACGAAGUGCAGUUGUAAGGCAGAGAUGUCUCGAUUUAUCGAGAGGAAAGUUACAAAACCGUUUGUUAGUGGAAGCUUCUGGAAAGAAGCACCCCAGAGGGUGAUAGUCCCGUACACGAAAACAAACAAUCUUUCUUGUCUUUGUCCUUGAGUACCUCAAGACACGAAUACCUUGGGGGAAUCCGCCGGAACUAACCGGCAAGGCUAAAUAUCUUUCAAGACCGAUAGUGAACAAGUACCGUGAGGGAAAGGUGAAAAGCAGCCCGAUGAGGGCGGUGAAAUAGACCUGAAACCGUAUGCUUACAAAGAGUUACGGCGGAGCUUGCUCCGUUGUAGCGUGCCUAUUGAAGAAUGAGCCAACGAGUCCAGGGAGAGAGCUUGUCUAAGCCCCUUAAACAAGGGCGGAGGCGUAGCGAAAGCGAGUGUUAAUAGCGCGUAGUCCGCCGCAAGGCGGACGCGCUCUCUCUUUGGGACCCGAAGCCAGAUGAGCUUGCCAUGAGCAGGGUGAACUUCGACGAAAGUCGAAGGGAGGCCCGAACGCUAGAGCUGUGCAAUACUCUGCGAUGACUUGUGGCAAGGAGUGAAAAGCUAAUCGAAUUUGGUAAUAGCUGGUUCUCUCCGAAAUAGCUUUAGGGUUAGCGUUGCGUGUUCCUUUUGGGGGUAGAGCACUGGAAGGUCGGGACAGGUCGAAAGACCGCUCAACCUAUCAAACUCCGAAUACCAAAAGUUAAAGCGCAGCAGUUAGACCGUGGGGGCUAAGCUCCACCGGUCAAAAGGGGAAGAGCCCGGAUCUCCAGUUAAGGUCCCUAAAUCCAUGCUCAGUGCAUCGUAAGGAAGUGGUAUUUCUCAAACAGUGAGGAUGUAGGCUUAGAAGCAGCCAUCAUUUAAAGAAAGCGUAACAGCUCACUCAUCGAGAGAUUCCGCACCGAAGAUGAUCGGGGCUAAAGCAUGGUACCGAAACUGAGGGUGCUCCGACUUUCGCAAGAAAGUCGGAGCGCGGUAGGAGAGUAUUCGCAUCUGCAGUGAAGCCGAAGGCGUGAGCCACGGUGGAGCGUUGCGAAGUAAGAAUGUUGGCACAAGUAACCACAAUGCGGGCGAGAAACCCGCACGCCGAAAGACCGAGGUUUCCUCCUCAAUGAUUGUCAGAGGAGGGUUAGUCGGGCCUUAGCCGAUGGCGAACGCCGGAGGCGAUGGACACACGGUUAAUAUUCCGUGACCGCGGCGCGUUUUGACGAAGUGACGAAGAUGAGUACUUCAGGCGCAUUAUUGGAUUUGUCGUUUGCAACAUAAGGAAGGAUUCCAGGAAAAUCCGGAGUCCUCGCUUCAAUGCGAUUUCCAAGCGUUGUGAAAAUGUGUUGGCUUCGGCCAUCGCAAAUCUGAAGGAGCCGUCUUUCAAGAAAAACUUCUAAAAUUAAACGCGACGCGACCGUACCGCAAACCGACACAGGUGGUCAGCUCGAGUAGAGUAAGGCGAACGAGUGAGAGGUCUCCAAGGAACUCGGCAAAAAAGCAGCAGUAACUUAGGGAUAUUGCUUGCCCCUCGCAAGAGGGGCUACAACUAAAGUCUGCCUGGCGACUGUUUAUCAAAAACACAGCUCCCUGCGAACUCGUAAGAGGAUGUAUAGGGGGUGACACUUGACCAAUGCCAGAAGGUCAAAUAUCGGCGUUGCUUUGUCGCAAGAUGGAGUGGUGACUGAUAUAAGCCCUGGUGAAUGUCGGCGAUAACUAUAAUCGUCCUAAGGUUUCCGAUGCGAAGUAAAAUUCGUUUCGGAAAGGAUUGGGACGAUUGUAUGCCGAUGUUGAAAACGCAAAAGCUACCUUACUUUGCAGUAAUGCAAAGCGUACACGCGGCUCCAAGAGACUAUACGCCGCGCUCCCUAGAUUUCUUCGGGAUUUAUCCUGAACGAAGUCGAAGGAUGAAGACAUAGUCCUUCUUUAUAGGAAUAGAAGAGCGCAAUUCCUUGCGGGGUAAGUUCCCGCGCGUUGAAUAGUGUCACGUCUGGGCAACUGUCUCGGAGACUCGCUCGGUGAAAAUACAAUACCGGUGAAGAUGCCGGUUACCUGCAGUUAGACGAAAAGACCCCGGAAGCUUUACUGUAUCUUGGUAUUGCCUGCAUUUUUUUGAUGCGUAGCGUAGGCGGUAGGAUUUGAAGUCCCGCUCUCGGGCGGGAUGGAUCCGUCGAUGAAACACCGCUCUUUAAAAAUAUGCAUGCUAACCUCGCGCGCCAAACGCGCGAGAGACAGUACCUGGGGGGCAGUUUUAGUGGGGCGCUAUCCUUUUAAAAAGUAACAAAGGAGCCCAUCAAGGUCAGCUAGGCGCGAAUGGAAACCGUGCCGAUAGUGCAAUGGCAAAAGCUGGCUUAACUGUGAGGCGUCAGAGCCGAGCAGACGCGAAAGCGGGGCAUAGUGAACCGAUGGUACGCGUUAGACGCGGCCAGAGAUCAUCUGCUAAAAGCUACUCCGGGGAUAACAGGCUAGUUCCGCCUAAGAGUCCUAAUCGGCGGCGGAGUUCGGCACCUUAACACAUCGGGGUGCCAUACCAGCAAUGGUAUUCAGCCGUUUUGGCAAUUCAGUGUAGGAGCUGGUGUGCCAGAACAAAAAACUUGGUUUAUAACGGUGGACUCCGUAUGGUAAAAUAUGGACAAUACCGUGGGAAGUCAUCUAUUCAGAUUUUUGGGAAAAAAAGACACUCCUUUUUAGGGGAGUGUGUGAGAAAUAAAAAUUCGUUAAUCUUUCUUGAUCAUGCUUUGGAGAAGUGCGAGACUUUCCUCUAGUCGCAACUUCUUAACGAUGUGCGAUGACAACUUCCUGAUAAGGAUUUUGUACAUUUCAGUCUGAAGCAACAGUAUAAAGAUACACACGGCGAACCACAAGAUAACGAAUCCAAACGCGAGAAGAACGUUAACAAUUUUUUCCAUAGAAUCCUUUCUCUAUUUCCAGAGGAAAGAUACUAUAAGCGUUUUGAAUUGUCAAAUAUAUAUUAUUUGACCCAAAAAAUAUGAGUAGAUUGACCCCGUAGAGACUUAUUCCGAAAGGAAUGGAGUGGAAGUUCUAACUUCCGCUAACACACCGAGCUCCAAUCUUGUAAAAGUUGGAUGAAGAUAUAGUCCGAUCCUGCGAGUAAUCGCAGAAAAAUCCGACAGCGAUGUCGGCUCAACUUAUCCCGGAGGUGGAGAAGCUUCCAAGGGUAUGGCUGUUCGCCAUUUAAAAAGUUACGUGAGCUGGGUUCAGACCGUCGUGAGACAGGUUGGUCUCCUAUCUACUGCAGGCGCAGAUUCUUGAGGGGAGUCAUUUUUAGUAAAGUAUUGCUACUUCGCGAAGUAAUUCGCGAUGACAAUGCGGCUAAUAACGGUGAAAUCUUUGUUUUUUUCGGUCUGUUGAUAACCACCGCUUUGAAUGGUUCAAAAGCGAUGGUACAAUAUACUUGAGGACCAGAAAAUAAUUAAGACAAUACCGUGGGAAGUCGAUCUAAAACUGAUCUUGCAUAUAUCGCCGGUUUUCUCGAUGGAGAUGGAAGCUUAAUGCUUCAAAUCAAAAAGAGAAAAGAUGGGCGAUUGAAAAAGAGAUUUAUGUGUACCGUGUGUUUUUAUCAAGACACGCGGCAUGAGCAUGAUCUCUAUUGGAUUCGUGAAAAAAUUGGAAUUGGAUACAUUUGUCGCAGAAACGACGGAAUGACAGAACUGCGAGUGAACGGCUUCAAGCAGGUGCGAGAUAUUCUACACGCACUACUUCCGUUUAUCCGAUUUAAAAAAUUACAAGCGAAAGCGCUCUAUUCCGCCGCUCAAUUAUUGAGUAACACGGAACUACAACGCCUUACAAAGGUGCAAUUAACGCGAAUACUUAGUUUUAUUCUUGUUAUUCAGGGUGAGAAUUAUGUAACAAAGAAAAAAAAGACAAAAAAAGAAUUACGCAAGAUGUUAGAUUUGACCCCGUAACGACUGGAAUACCAACACCAUGUUGGUAUGAAGAUGGUGCUGUAAUAGGCGCCAUAAUACGCCGACCCCUGCUUUCGUGUGAAGCGACGCAGGGUGAAGAUAUAGUCUGCACACUUAGUGAUAAGUGAAUAUGUGACGAGAGGACCAAAAUGAACGGACCUCUGGUGUACCGGCUGUCCUGCCAAGGGCAUCGUCGGGUAGCUAUGUUCGGAACGGAUAACCGCUGAAAGCAUCUAAGCGGGAAGCCAACCCCAAGAUAAGGAAUCGUUAUCAGUCCCGUCGGAGAUUACGACGUUGAUAGGCGCUAGGUGUACGCGCAGCAAUGCGCUUAGCCGAGGCGUACUAAUCGGACGACCCUGUCUGGA
rnacentral:rRNA from 1 species